GCAUUGGUGGUUCAGUGGUAGAAUUCUAGCUGGCGAAGUUGGAGGCCUAGGUUCGAUUCCCAGCCAAUGCA